CAUUCAAUCUUUUUAGCAUCUUUAAGAAAAAGUAUUUCCAAUGUAAGCCUCACGUUUAUCUUUUGUGUAGCUAAUUAACUGUUGCAGGUCCAAUUAUUUACGUACAAGCUUUCUUUAGCAAUUUAUCAAAAAAUAUCAUAUCAUCAUUUGUGUUGCCAGAAAGGUUGCCUGAGGGGUAAGAAAUCUUUUAUAUUAUUGGAGUGGUCAAUAAGGUAUAGAGAAAUAUUGUAAAAAAUAAAGCUGCUUAAAAUAUUAAAAGAGGCCUACAGAAAGCAUUUUUAAGAAGUUUAGCCAAACACUCACGGUAUAUAACUCUACUUUCUGAAAUUUGAAAUAAGUCCAUAUAUCGAAUAUUUAUGCUGUGCUCAAACGCAACUCGAUCCAGAAAUAGAAUAUUAAAGUGCUAAAAUUUACGGCAAUCGCACUGACAGGAAAAACCAGACAGUAAAACCUGACUCGGAGAAACGAGUAGGUUGAUUGAGUGUUCGGGUUUUGAGGGGUACUUAAAUUUUUAAGUUGAAAAGGAAAGGAAAAAGUAGAGAAAUCCCGUGACGUUGAUUAGAAACAAAGAAGAAAUAACAACUCCGAGCUAGCAAGCACUUUCAUAAGUUUGUUUCGAUUAUCCCUAAUAAGUGGAGAUUUAGUACAAGGCAAUCACUCAAUCAUAUACUAAAGAACCACUAUCUUAUGUCACCCACCAUACGCCAUACAUAGCACGGCUCCCCAG
rnacentral:lncRNA from 1 species